AACGAACGCUGGCGGCAUGCCUAACACAUGCAAGUCGAACGAACCCUUCGGGGUUAGUGGCGCACGGGUGCGUAACGCGGGGGAAUCUGCCCUUUGCUUCGGAAUAACUCAGGGAAACUUGUGCUAAUACCGGAUGAUGUCUUCGGACCAAAGAUUUAUCGGCACGGGAUGAGCCCGCGUAGGAUUAGGUAGUUGGUGGGGUAAAGGCCUACCAAGCCGACGAUCCUUAGCUGGUCUGAGAGGAUGAUCAGCCACGCUGGGACUGAGACACGGCCCAGACUCCUACGGGAGGCAGCAGUGGGGAAUAUUGGACAAUGGGCGCAAGCCUGAUCCAGCAAUGCCGCGUGAGUGAUGAAGGCCCUCGGGUCGUAAAGCUCUUUUACCAGGGAUGAUAAUGACAGUACCUGGAGAAUAAGCUCCGGCUAACUCCGUG
rnacentral:rRNA from 1 species